ensembl:lncRNA
AUGCUUAACUUACCUGAACUGGACUUGCUAGUACUGCUGAUGUCUGCAGGGUUUCACCAAAGACAAAGGCGCAAGGCUGGGCCUGAGAUUAUGAACGAAAGGGCUGCAGCUGGACUCUGUGCCUGUGUAGCCACAACACGAAAUAAAGCACUUGAAGGGAUUCCUGCAUUGGCUCUGGACCUCUCUACCCCGAUGCAGACCACUGAACCAGUGCGGAGCACUGUAUGGAACCAUUCCCACGUCUGGCAGUCAUGGCAGGCUUUGAUGUGGAGGUUCGUGCUAAAAACCCAAUGUUUAAGAAAUAUUUUCCCUUUUACCCUGGGAUUUGCCCAGAAGUGGCUGGUGUCUGAUAGCCCGAUAGCAUGUGUGAAUGAGCUGGUCCCAGUCCAAUCCUUAAUAGCCAUCUGUAUUUCUCUGCAUCAGACCGUGAUCUAGCUCAGUUGGUCUGAUUAGCACAGCCCUAGAGAAAGCCACUGGCUAAAUAUCACAGUGAGAAACCUUAGCCUCCAGCUCUGGACUGCAUCCAUCACGCUGAGAGGUAAAGGGAUGCUUUUUUUGUUUGCCACCAAUGAUGCUGUAUUUGGCCAGAGUCUCUGUUUCUAAUCUAAAAUGUUUGGGGCCAGGUUCUGAUUCCCUUAACUCUGGCUCAAUAACAACUUAAUUUGCCAGUAGCACUACUAGUGAAAAUAAUUAGAGAGUAAAGGAUUAUUUGGUGUGAAGAAAGGUGGAAGAAUUGGGCCCUUGAUUAAAGCACUAAAAAUAGCUUAGUAGAGUUUCAAAGAAGAUGUAAUUACUUCUUUUAUCUGCCCAGCUCUUAUCAUUUGUGAAAGUUACUGGAUGUUUCUUGUUGUGUUUUCAGACCUAUGACUUGAUUGCAUAUCGCAGAGUCUUUUAUGCAGUUCCUGAACAUUGAAGCAAUCUCUGCUUAAACAAAUGUAACAAUGGCAGUCAGUACCUAUUGCAUUUGCUAUUUUUGUCCUGUCAACUCAUGCUUUCAAAAGAUACAAUUUGAAAUCAGUUUCUUCCGUAUUUAUUCUCCACCAGUGAACUCCCAGAUCAGAUUUGCUCGGGUUUAAAGUCAAAACAAGGUUUCUGUACCUGCUGGUGCUGAAUGCUCAGCCUGGCAUCUCAAGCUCAAGCUGUGCUCUUUCUGCCUCGUGCGUUAUGUUGGCAGUCACGGCUCUGGAACUAGACUCACUGGCAAUUUUGCUCGAGAUGCAGAAGGUGGAAAGAAUCUAGCUUGCUGGUCUAUGUGGAUUUUGUUUUGUCAGAAAAGUAAAUGUGUGUUACACACAACUCCUCUCUGUCUCGCUCUGGGAUAGCUGGGCUGUUUUCAGGGCUGCUGCAAGCUUGCACAGGUGCUGUAGAGGGAAGAGCAGGACCAUAGACUUAGAUCAGGCUCUGAUAGGCAGCUGUGGGUGGUACUAUAGUGUCUUUUUAACUGACAUUACCCUUCUGCUUAAAAGCAAACAAAAAAUACCUCCUUCAGUUUAUAGUCUUUAUUGUUUCCUGAUGCAGCCCAUUAAAGAGAAACAAAUGGGUUUACAGUAGCCUGCAGUACUGUCCGAUGUACUGUGGUUGAUGUACAAGUGACAGCUUGACAAUUUCCUAUGUAUUUUCUCAGCAAGGCUCUUUUUAAUUGUUAGGUUUUCUCUCCUCCUUCCAUUAGUGUGAUGUCAUUAUACUGCAGCUCAUGGGAUUUUACACUAAAUAUUUCAUGUUGAGAAGCAGAAAUGGUACUCUUUUUCUUGCUCAUCAUGGUUUUGAUUAGGAAUUCUACUGAUCCCUGUCCAAUAGAGCCCUUACUAAAAUUCAGUUAGGGAAUUAAUAACUAAAAGUGCAUGGAAACUUUUUGUCUAAGUAAGGACAAUGGGCAUUCUUAUGGCUCCUUAGUCUUCUCUCUCUCAAACAACCCUUUUUGUCUCUACAGAGACAUAAAUUAGUAUUCCAGUAGGAAAGAAAACUUUACUUCUUGCCAAGUUGGUUUUGGCUUGAAUGCCCUGCUGAGUGCAUGGGAUAUUAGGAAGAAUAAACUGUGCAUUCGAUGUUCA